GCAUGCGGUAAAAUGUUCCAUAGCUUAAAAUGUGUUUUGGGUUGGUUUUCUUAUAGUUUUGUUGAAUUUAUUUACGGUCUUGUUUGGUUUUCCUUUCGGUGAUUCUUUUUGUGUUGUUUUGUUUUUGGUUUUUGCUUUUUUUAAUACUUUUUGUAUUUAUGUACAUUGAAAGUUUGAAUAAGUUGCAAAGAGUUUUGAGUUAUAGUUAAAGUUAAAGUU
rnacentral:lncRNA from 1 species